rnacentral:rRNA from 1 species
AUUGAACGCUGGCGGCAGGCCUAACACAUGCGAGUCGAGCGGAUGAAGGGAGCUUGCUCCUGGAUUCAGCGGCGGACGGGUGAGUAAUGCCUAGGAAUCUGCCUGGUAGUAGGGGAUAACGUCCGGAAACGGGCGCUAAUACCGCAUACGUCCUGAGGGAGAAAGUGGGGGAUCUUCGGACCUCACGCUAUCAGAUGAGCCUAGGUCGGAUUAGCUAGUUGGUGGGGUAAAGGCCUACCAAGGCGACGAUCCGUAACUGGUCUGAGAGGAUGAUCAGUCACACUGGAACUGAGACACGGUCCAGACUCCUACGGGAGGCAGCAGUGGGGAAUAUUGGACAAUGGGCGAAAGCCUGAUCCAGCCAUGCCGCGUGUGUGAAGAAGGUCUUCGGAUUGUAAAGCACUUUAAGUUGGGAGGAAGGGCAGUAAGUUAAUACCUUGCUGUUUUGACGUUACCAACAGAAUAAGCACCGGCUAACUUCGUG